rnacentral:misc_RNA from 1 species
GAUGAAGAACGUAGCGAAAUGCGAUAAGUAAUGCGAAUUGCAGAAUUUCCGUGAGUCAUCGAAUCUUUGAACGCACAUUGCGCCCACUGGUAUUCCGGUGGGCAUGCCUGUUCGAGCGUCAUUAUCCUCCCUCAAACCCCGGGUUUGGUGUUGGACCCAAGUUGUGUGAACAACUGGUCUCAAAGACAAUGACGGCGUCCGUGGGACCCUCGGUGCAACGAGCUUUUAGGAGCACGCAUCGAGUUGCAAGGACCUUCCGGGCCGGUCUCUUUACCCCUUUUACAAGGUUGACCUCGGAUCAGGUAGGAAUACCCGCUGAACUUAAGCAUAUCAAUAAGCGGAGGA